rnacentral:rRNA from 1 species
UACGGAGGGUACUAGCGUUGUUCGGAAUUACUGGGCGUAAAGCGCACGUAGGCGGUUUUGUAAGUUAGGGGUGAAAUCCCGGGGCUCAACCUCGGAACUGCCUUUGAUACUGCAAAUCUCGAGUCCGGAAGAGGUGAGUGGAAUUCCUAGUGUAGAGGUGAAAUUCGUAGAUAUUAGGAAGAACACCAGUGGCGAAGGCGACUCUUUGGUCUGUAACUGACGCUGAGGCGCGAAAGCGUGGGGAGCAAACAGG